rnacentral:rRNA from 1 species
UACGUAGGGGGCUAGCGUUGUCCGGAAUCAUUGGGCGUAAAGCGUGCGCAGGCGGCUUUGCAAGACAGAUGUGAAAUCCCCGGGCUUAACCUGGGAACUGCAUUUGUGACUGCAUGGCUGGAGUGCGGCAGAGGGGGAUGGAAUUCCGCGUGUAGCAGUGAAAUGCGUAGAUAUGCGGAGGAACACCGAUGGCGAAGGCAAUCCCCUGGACCUGUACUGACGCUCAGGCACGAAAGCGUGGGGAGCAAACGAGG